GAAAGGGCUGUAGCUCAGUUGGAGAGCAUCUGCUUUGACUGCAGAAGGUCCCAGGCUUAAUCCCCAGCAUCUUCA